UUUUUUUCUUUUGGGGUGUGUGUUUGUGUGUUCACACAUCUGGCACAUUCUUUUAUGCAUUAUUCUCUGGUGUAAUCAACAGCUGGAGGUGAUGAGAGUGCGGCGUGUUAUAGAUAGAUUCUUCCUCAUUGAUAAGAGAGGUGACAGACACAAAAUACCAACUGCAUUUUUCUUAACAACCAGUCUGUUUUCAUUUUAUCAGCGCAGGAGUGCAGCAGAGACAGGCCCCAGUGUCCUUGACAGUGGUGACACUGAAGAGAUGGAUGUACAGGCGGUCAAAGGAAAGUCAUUUAUUUCCGUUGACCCACUCGGUCAAGUGGAUUGAAGCUGAGCCUUUUGAUUUGGCUUUUACUUUGCCUUUUUCCCCCCACAGAUUCCACACUGCUCCUGCAAUUACUGCAAACAGAGAAGGUGAUGGGUCUAAGAUUUUGUCCAGAUAAAAGAGUCAGGACCCUAUCUCUCCUGUUGACACCAUUAAGCCAUCACUGAGAACUAGAAGCUGUAGGGGAGGGUGGCACUGAGGAGCUGUCAAUCAAAGCUUACCACCCAGUUCUUGUUUAAAACCAUCUGCCACUGAACUCCCACUGGCCUCUUUGUAUCUGAUCCUAAAACCAGCCACAGCGGGCUGAUGGUCUUCAUCACUGGGAGGAAUAUUCACCACUUACUGUCUUAUCAAAUGCAAGCAAGGGACUGCAGAAAUGCACAUAUUCUUGGAUUGGGGUAGUGGGUGGAAAGCGCUUUAGGGUUAUUUAUCAAACCAGGCAGCACUGACUGCCAGCACCAGAAUAACGAGAAAAAAAGAAAAAAAAAAGCUGUUCCAAAUAGCAGUCGUCCAACUGAGCAAGCUAAAACAACUGCAAUCCAGCUGUCACACUUUAAAAAUGCAUAUGGAUGGAGGACGGUCAUGUGAAAAGGUGCGGUUAAUUUUGAGUGAAAAGCUCUGGAGCAUGACGUUGGUGUUCGUUUGUUUGUUUUUGCAGCUUUUCAACUGUUUCAGGCUAAAAAGUGAUAUGCAAUUUAGUCACUCCAGCACAAGUUCAACCCUAAUCCAACUUCAGUGUCAGACAGCGCACCUAAAUCUCUUCAUGGUGGGACUUAUCAAACAAUAAC
ensembl:lncRNA